CAUUGAAAGAGCCAAAAGGAGUAAUUGAUACACAUGGGCCACAUUUUAAUGUACCAGAACAUACUGAGCAUGACCUAGCGGAAAAGGACAGUUUCAAUAAAACAAAAGAAGCAUUAAAGACAUCAAAAGAAUUCGAUAACUUGACCCUGACCCCUACAGACCCACCGUCAGCGCUAAUUGAUGAUUCCUCCAAUAAUAACGCACAAGCUGAGAUGAAAGAAAUGCUGGAUCCUAUUGAAGUUUCUCAGAAUAACCCAAGAAAAGAAAUAUUAGACGGAAUUGACGAUUCGUCAAUGCAGUUAAAGCCAAUUAAGGAUACUUACAAUGUGCUAAUAAACCCUGACAGUAAAAAUACUAAUCUGAUCCACGAUGGAAUCAUAAAAGAAGCUGUAGCGGAGGCAACGGAAUCAUUGAAAGAAAAAAUAUCCGUACCGGAAAUUUAAACAAUCAAUCUGGAUGGCAAUCUAGAAACUAAAGACGAGAAUAUGAAAAAUAUAAUGGAACGGAAAUAUCCAUAACAAUACAUUUUAUUAAAUCACUAGAUAAUAUGAAUGAGGAUGCUUAACUGAAAAAUCUAAGUGGAGAUUGAUUGAAGAAUGUGUUUGUUGUUUUGUACCAUUAGGUGGCGACACUUCCACUCAAGUGUUAUGUACCCCUACCACAUAUCUAUCAUGAUCACCAAAAAUCUUGAUGCUCGAUUCCGUUAAUGCCUUGCCAUGUUUGGUUCGCGUUAAUAAAUUACAGCAAUAAAUAAAGCGUAAAUCUAAA